UGAGGAAUUUUGCGCAAUGGGGGAAACCCUGACGCAGCGACGCCGCGUGGAGGACGAAGGCCUUCGGGUCGUAAACUCCUGUCAAGCGGGACGAAUGCCGUAGGGAUGAAUAAGCCCUACGGUUGACGGUACCGCUGGAGGAAGCCCCGGCUAACUCCGUGCCAGCAGCCGCGGUAAUACGGAGGGGGCCAGCGUUGUUCGGAAUUAUUGGGCGUAAAGGGCGCGUAGGCGGCCUGGUAAGUCAGACGUGAAAUCCCGCGGCUCAACCGCGGAACUGCGUUUGAUACUGCCGGGCUUGAGUCCCGGAGAGGGUAGCGGAAUUCCCAGUGUAGCGGUGAAAUGCGUAGAUAUUGGGAGGAACACCAGUGGCGAAGGCGGCUACCUGGACGGGUACUGACGCUGAGGCGCGAAAGCGUGGGGAGCAAACAGGAUUAGAUACCCCCGUAGUCC
rnacentral:rRNA from 1 species